CAGAAGUGGAGAAGAUCAAAGACUUAUGAAGAAGAGUUGGAAAUUGGGAAACAUUCGAGAGUUUGGAGCUGAGGAGCUCCAUGAUAUAUGCAUAAGGAAGAUUCAUCUUGAUAGGAUACAUUGGCAGAGACAAGAAUGGAGGCAUGAAGACAUAUUUGGAGGCUUUUGCAGAAGUACAGAAGAAGUUUUGAAGAUGAGAAUCAUGAUCAGACAUUGCUAGCUGUUCUCUUAUAACCUUGUCAUUUACCUGACACAUAUAUGAUGGGGAGGACAAUGUGGAAAGGAAAACUGGAAAAAAGGUAAAUAGGAAAUAUAUAUUACAUGAUAAUAUAUGUACAACCUAUAUCAUAUUACCUGCCUUCUUGGGAAGGAAUGGAGAAAGGAAAGAAUGAGACAGAUAUUUGAAUAUAGCUAAUGUGAGAAUUUGUUUCUCUUGGAUAGGCA
rnacentral:lncRNA from 1 species